GAAGAUUUGCAUCAAAGAGGAAGGAAGAGGAUAUCUAUGGAAGUAGUUAGUGGUGAUAAGAGUUCCCCAGGGUUAGACUACUCUUGGACAGCAAGGAAAGGCAGAGAGAGAGCCUUGAAGGAGCUGGAAUGCCAGUCGACAGGUUUACAUUUUGUACUUAAUCAAAUGCCAGACCAUCAGCUAUGUUGUGUUGUUCACAAAGGAAAGCAAGAAAAGCAGACAGCUAGAGGUCAGAGUGCAUUAAAAGUCAAUGGUCACAACAUCACCUUGAAGAACUGUGGGCCAAGAAAACCACAAACAGCACUAUUAUGGCAUGCUAGAAGGAAAAUGGGAAAG
rnacentral:lncRNA from 1 species